GACGAACGCUGGCGGCGUGCUUAACACAUGCAAGUCGAACGGAAAGGCCCUGCUUUUGUGGGGUGCUCGAGUGGCGAACGGGUGAGUAACACGUGAGUAACCUGCCCUUGACUUUGGGAUAACUUCAGGCAACUGGGGCUAAUACCGGAUAGGAGCUCCUGCUGCAUGGUGGGGGUUGGAAAGUUUCGGCGGGUCGGGAUGGACUCGCGCCUUAUCAGCUUGUUGGUGGGGUGGUGCCUUACCAGGGCUUUGACGGGUAGCCGGCCUGAGAGGGUGACCGGCCUCAUUGGGACUACGAUAAGACCCAGACUCCUCCGGGAGGCAGCGGUGGGGAAUGUUGCACAAUGGUCGGAAGCCAGAUGCAGCAACGCAGCGGGCGGGAUGACGGCCUUUGGGUUGUAAACCGCUUGCACCUGUGACGAAGCGUGAGUGACGGUACUGGGUAGAGAAGCACCGGCUAACUAUGUG
rnacentral:rRNA from 1 species